AGCUGCUUCUCGUGAGUACUCCUUUUUUCUUUCAUUCUUGCCUUCGCAUCCACCACUCGCGCCUUGCUGUAGCUUAGUCGUACGGCAUAGUUUGUUGUAUGAACACCAGAAGAAGAAGGUCAUGAACAGCAACACGUACACCUUCACGACCACCAUCUUCCAUAUAUGCUGGUUUGAGUGGAAAGGAUGAAUAAUUUGCACGGUUGCAGUGAAUACCGGAGGCGAGGGUCGAGUACUGUGUAUGCUGAUUAUAAGGAGCUAUUUAAUCAUUCUCAUGCCCUCCUUCGCAACCACAUAGAAAGGUCCAUCGGUGUAUUGAAGAAGCGAUUUCCCAUCCUCAAAGUGGGCACCUUUUAUCCCAUAGAGACUCAGGUUUUGAUUCCAUCAGCAGCAGUUUCAUUUCAUAACAUGAUUAGAGGUUUAAAUGGUGAAGAUGGAUGGUUGGAUCAACACCCAACUAACAUCAAUUCUAGUCAAUUUGUUGAAUUACCAGAGGUAGUUAUAUAUAAGCACUCAAUUUCUACAACAUUUUUACUUGCUUAAAUCUGCUAUUUCAGUUUUUUUUCUAGUAAAAUCUGAUAUUUAGUUACCUCUAUUAUUUAAUUGCUUAAAUCUGCUAUUUCAAUUUUGUUUCUAGUAAAAUCUGCCGCUAUUUGAGUUCAGCUAUUUAUGUUUACAUAAGCAAGUGCUUCAUAAACAUCUAAAUCCACACCUUUGUUCCAGUUCAGCAAUGUCUUCUCUUUAUUACAGAUGUGCUUAUCCAAUUCAGUUUUCAGAGUAUGUUGACAAUCUGAAUUUAGUUCAAGCAAUACCUUCUCUUUAUUACAUAUGUUUAAGCAGGUGCUUCAUAAACAUCUGAAUUCAGUUCAUCAAUGUCUUUUCUUUAUUACUGAAUAUUGAAAUGAAUAUAAAGGCUUUCAUGUCCCCAAAUACAGAGGGUCUCCAAAUUAGAUAUUGAACUGAAUAUAGAGGAAUUGAAUAUAUAUACAUUUGUCUAAGUUUUCUCAUCAACAGGUGAUACACAAGGGAUUUUCAUCAACAAGUGGUCGCCAGAAGAACUGAAACAUCAAGAUGGCGUUUGUUUUUAGGUCAUGCCAUUCAGGAGAUGAUGCUAAGCUAAAUAAUCACAUCUAUGUGUACACUGAGACUGUUUUAUUAUGAGACUGUGUUUUAUUAUGAUGUACUGAGACUAUGUUUGUGUACACUGAGACUGUUUUAUUAUGAUGCACUGAGACUGUUUUAUUAAGCAGUGUGGAGUUCUCAGCU
rnacentral:lncRNA from 1 species